AUGGUGGUUCGUUCGGAAUCAUGUGAUUUUGGCGACAACUUCAGGUGGAGUUGGAGUCUGAUGGUCGUGGUUAGAGGAGUUGAGCGGCAGAGGUCUGGUAUCAGAAUCUGGUGGGAGCAAUGGUCCCAUCGUCGGAGUCGUAGGUGCAGUAGCAUCAGAAGCUUCAAUUUAAUUACGUACGGUGUUAGGCGAUGGCUUCCAUUUUUCUUUGGUAUCUUUGCAACUCCGGAUCCACGGUUAUUGGUUUUGAGGAGAUUUGUAAUAAGUUAUGUUGUUUCUAAUGGUUUGUAUGCUUGGUAG